rnacentral:rRNA from 1 species
CUCUUCGGAGAUAGUGGCAGACGGGUGAGUAACGCGUGGGAACCUACCCUUUGGUACGGAACAACAGUUGGAAACGACUGCUAAUACCGUAUGUGCCCUACGGGGGAAAGAUUUAUCGCCAAAGGAUGGGCCCGCGUUGGAUUAGCUAGUUGGUGAGGUAAUGGCUCACCAAGGCGACGAUCCAUAGCUGGUCUGAGAGGAUGAUCAGCCACACUGGGACUGAGACACGGCCCAGACUCCUACGGGAGGCAGCAGUGGGGAAUAUUGGACAAUGGGCGCAAGCCUGAUCCAGCCAUGCCGCGUGAGUGAUGAAGGCCUUAGGGUUGUAAAGCUCUUUCAGCGAGGAGGAUAAUGACGUUACUCGCAGAAGAAGCCCCGGCUAACUUCGUGCCAGCAGCCGCGGUAAUACGAAGGGGGCUAGCGUUGUUCGGAAUCACUGGGCGUAAAGCGCACGUAGGCGGAUUGAUAAGUUAGGGGUGAAAUCCCAGGGCUCAACCCUGGAACUGCCUUUGAUACUGUCAGUCUAGAGACCGAGAGAGGUGAGUGGAACUCCGAGUGUAGAGGUGAAAUUCGUAGAUAUUCGGAAGAACACCAGUGGCGAAGGCGGCU